rnacentral:lncRNA from 1 species
UUACAGCUUUGGAGACUGGGAAGUCCAAGAGCAUGGCACCAGCAUCUGCUCAGCAUCUGGCCAGGGCCUUCUUGCUGCAUCAUCCCAUGGUGGAAGGUGGAUGGUCAAGAAAGCACAGGGGAGAGUCAGAGGAGAAGAGGCCCAAACUCAUCAUUUUAUCGGGAGUCCACUCCCAUGAUAACUAAUCCAUUCUUUUGAUAACUAACCUAUUCCCAUAAUUAGGUGAGGAAACUGAAGUGUAAAGAGGUUACAUAAGUUAGCUGAAAUUCUUAAAGGUAGCCACUGUUGGGGUGAGAUUUUAAAUCCAGGCAGAGAACUCCUGAGAACUAUCCAAGGCUGAACUGAGGGCAGCUCCCAGCCUCCAGCCAGGAAAAAUCCAGGCCCUCAGUUCUACAGCAGCAAGAAAAUAAAUUCUGCCAACAACCUGAGGGUGUGCAGAAGCAGAUCCUUCCCCAGUCGAACCUCCAGAUGGAAACACAGCCCAGUCCAGCCAGCAAGUUGAUUGUUAUCUUGUGUGAGACCCUCUCCCUGUCACAACUUGCAUAAAAUAUUUUUCUUUGCUUCUUUUAUUCUUUCAAGCAGCACUUGAUAUUCAUUUUAAACUGGCUUUGCUGCUCAACAAUGUUUUGUUUGGGAGUGGUGUGUGCAUGCAUAUAUGUUUUCUAGAGAUAUGUCAGAUUGUGGAAAGUACAGGGAGCAUGGCGUUAGGCUCUGUGCACAAGGUGAGAAGUUCAGCCACACCAUUGUGUUUCUCUACACAACAUCAAGGAACCAGAUACCAGGCCUGGAUGAAGCCCAGCCUUGGAAAUUGGAAGAUGCCAGCCCCCUUCAGUUCCUUAAACAAGGAUCCCUGGAUUGUAAUCUCCACAAGAGCAGGGCAUGUCUGCCUCAUCUAUCAUUGUAUCUCCAUUGCCAACCUCAGUGCUGAAUAUCUGUGGGGUAAAUGAAAGCAUGGGAAUUUGAAGAGCCACCCAUAGAAACUGUUUCCUCAAGCUAUCCCUCCUUUUCAGUGUUCACAGAACCCAUACUUUGCUCAGAAGAUUUUAAGUUUCCAUCACAGCUGAUGAUGGAAAGUUUGGGCACAGCAUGACUUUGUCUUUUGUUCAGAUCUCACACAAGGCUGCAG